rnacentral:rRNA from 1 species
UACGUAGGGGGCAAGCGUUGUCCGGAUUUAUUGGGCGUAAAGAGCUCGUAGGCGGUUUGGUAAGUCAGGUGUGAAAUCUCCACGCUCAACGUGGAGGGGCCACCUGAUACUGCCAUGACUGGAGUCCGGUAGAGGAGUGUGGAAUUCCAGGUGUAGCGGUGAAAUGCGUAGAUAUCUGGAGGAACACCGGUGGCGAAGGCGACAUCCUGGACCGGUAUUGACGCUGAGGCGCGAAAGCCAGGGGAGCAAACGGG